UCGAUUGAGUUUGAUCAUGGCUCAGAACGAACGCUGGCGGCAGGCUUAACACAUGCAAGUCGAACGCCCCGCAAGGGGAGUGGCAGACGGGUGAGUAACGCGUGGGAAUCUACCCAAUUCUUCGGAACAACUGAGGGAAACUUCAGCUAAUACCGGAUACGCCCUACGGGGGAAAGAUUUAUCGGAAUUGGAUGAGCCCGCGUUGGAUUAGCUAGUUGGUGAGGUAAUGGCUCACCAAGACGACGAUCCAUAGCUGGUCUGAGAGGAUGAUCAGCCACACUGGGACUGAGACACGGCCCAGACCCCUACGGGAGGCAGCAGUGGGGAAUAUUGGACAAUGGGCGCAAGCCUGAUCCAGCCAUGCCGCGUGAGUGAUGAAGGCCUUAGGGUUGUAAAGCUCUUUCAGUAGGGAAGAUAAUGACGGUACCUACAGAAGAAGCCCCGGCUAACUUCGUGCCAGCAGCCGCGGUAAUACGAAGGGGGCUAGCGUUGUUCGGAUUUACUGGGCGUAAAGCGCACGUAGGCGGAUCGUUAAGUCGGGGGUGAAAUCCUGGAGCUCAACUCCAGAACUGCCUUCGAUACUGGCGAUCUUGAGUCCGGAAGAGGUGAGUGGAACUCCUAGUGUAGAGGUGGAAUUCGUAGAUAUUAGGAAGAACACCAGUGGCGAAGGCGGCUCACUGGUCCGGUACUGACGCUGAGGUGCGAAAGCGUGGGGGAGCAAACAGGAUUAGAUACCCUGGUAGUCCACGCCGUAAACUAUGAGAGCUAGCCGUUGGGGAGUUUACUCCUCA
rnacentral:rRNA from 1 species